rnacentral:tRNA from 1 species
AAAAUUUUAAGAUUUUAUUUUUAAAAAAUUGCAAUUUUUUUCUUUAGUUUCAUUUGAUUUUU